GGAAAUUGAACUCAGGACCUCUGGAAGAGCAGCCAGUGCUCUUACCUCUGAGCCAUCUCUUCAGUCCCUAAAGCAAAAUUUGAUCGGUCUAUUAACUUACUUUUCUCAGAGAGAUGUUCUGAUAACCUUUGCUAUGUCUUCAUGUGAAUGGCAGUUUUGAAUGGUCUUCUGGAAGCUUUGAUUAGUAUGCCCCUAUGGAGAACACUAAUUUAUUUUGGCCUGGUGAGUUCAGUCAUUUUUUUUUUUUCCCUUUUUUUUCUGCCUGAUGUCUAUUUGGUGCCAGCAGAUGGCAAUUUCCUAAGCCUUGACCUGCUAGUUGAAGCUGCUUCAAACUUGCUCCAUCUAGUGGACAGCUUUAUUCCAGUACGGCCAGCCGCCGACUCCACUUUUCAAAACUUUCGUUCUAGCUCCAGGAUUUGUGAUGCAGAAUCCAGAGAGAUAGUCGUCUGCAAGGCCUUUCCACUGAAUAUGAACACAGGGAAGGAGAAGGCUGUGAUACAGCAAGUGUAACAAAAGGAAACCUGCCUAAAUGACAGCUGUCACCACAUCCUGGCACAGCUUGUGCUCCUCACAGAUGAAGAGAAGGUCCUUAGCAUCCCUGCUUUACAGUAAAGAAAACUACAGUGAAGAAGAUUCUUCAGACACAGGUUUCCACAGCCAGCUAUAGCAGAAGCAGCACACACAGAGACACCUCUUCUCCAUAGGCCAGAGGCCUCAGGAUGUAAGGAAUUAAAUAGUUGAUCCUGAACUAGGAAUCAAGAUGAGACUGAGAUACAACAAACCUCAUGCACACUGUAGAGAUUCUCCAUUACCUGAAGCGCCCAUUAACAGCUAUUAUAGGGAGAGGAAUAAGAGACAAGCCAAAACAAAUGGAUACAUUUACCAAAAACAUCAUCCAGAUCAUUUGCUUUAGGUCUUCCUCAUUGAAUUAUUGGUUAAGACCAUCAACAAACCAGUCCUGCCCACAUCCCCAUAAAGGCAUCGUAGCUUCCAAGCUGAGGAACCUCAUCUUUGGGGGCAUGUCCUAAUGUCUUGUUACCUCUCAGCUCUUCAGAGAAAAGUGAUGGUGAGGGUUAGAAGUUAGAUCUGAAUGCUCCUGCCCCUUACCAGAAAAUCCUGAGUCCAGUGUAUGCGUUCACUGUAGUUCAGCUGCAGGAACCACUGUCCACAGUGCUCCAGUCUUUUCACAGAAACCCACCCUUGCCUCCUCUGUGGAAAGCAUUAGGUUCAUGUCAGUUUGGCAGGACUUACACACUCUUCCAGGUUCUGCCCCUUUCCUCUCAGUAUGUGUUGGCCAAUCAUAGAAGAACAUGGAUCUAGCUGUUUCCAGAAUCUUCUGCGUUUCCAAGAAGAGGAAA